rnacentral:rRNA from 1 species
ACGGGACCCGCACAAGCGUGGAUGAUGUGGAUUAAUUCGAUGCAACGCGAAGAACCUUACCUACCCUUGACAUGUCCGGAACUUGCCAGAGAUGGCUUGGUGCCCGAAAGGGAAUCGGAACACAGGUGCUGCAUGGCUGUCGUCAGCUCGUGUCGUGAGAUGUUGGGUUAAGUCCCGCAACGAGCGCAACCCUUAUCAUUAGUUGCUACGCAAGGGCACUCUAAUGAGACUGCCGGUGACAAACCGGAGGAAGUGGGGAUGACGUCAAGUCCUCAUGGCCCUUAUGGGUAGGGCUUCACACGUCAUACAAUGGUCGGUACAGAGGGUUGCCAAGCCGCGAGGCGGAGCCAAUCCCACAAAGCCGAUCGUAGUCCGGAUUGUUCUCUGCAACUCGAGAGCAUGAAGUCGGAAUCGCUAGUAAUCGCAGGUCAGCAUACUGCGGUGAAUACGUUCCCGGGCCUU